rnacentral:tRNA from 1 species
GCCGUUGUAGCUCAGCUGGUAGAGCGCGUCCAUGGUAAGGACGAGGUCACCGGUUCAAUCCCGGUCAACGGCUCCA